rnacentral:misc_RNA from 1 species
GAAAUGCGAUACUUGGUGUGAAUUGCAGAAUCCCGUGAACCAUCGAGUCUUUGAACGCAAGUUGCGCCCGAAGCCAUUAGGCCGAGGGCACGCCUGCCAUGAACCCAGAUUUCAACCAACCACGAGG